rnacentral:rRNA from 1 species
UCCGUAGGUGGAUAAUUAAGUCAGAGGUGAAAUCCUGCAGCUCAACUGUAGAAUUGCCUUUGAUACUGGUUAUCUUGAGUCAUUAUGAAGUGGUUAGAAUGUGUAGUGUAGCGGUGAAAUGCAUAGAUAUUACACAGAAUACCGAUUGCGAAGGCAGAUCACUAAUAAUGUACUGACACUGAGGGACGAAAACGUGGGAGCAAACAGGAUUAGAUACCCUGGUAGUCC